rnacentral:rRNA from 1 species
UGCGGAAGGAUCAUUACUGUGAUUUACUACUACACUGCGUGAGCGGAACGAAAACAACAACACCUAAAAUGUGGAAUAUAGCAUAUAGUCGACAAGAGAAAUCUACGAAAAAACAAACAAAACUUUCAACAACGGAUCUCUUGGUUCUCGCAUCGAUGAAGAGCGCAGCGAAAUGCGAUACCUAGUGUGAAUUGCAGCCAUCGUGAAUCAUCGAGUUCUUGAACGCACAUUGCGCCCCUCGGCAUUCCGGGGGGCAUGCCUGUUUGAGCGUCGUUUCCAUCUUGCGCGUGCGCAGAGUUGGGGGAGCGGAGCGGACGACGUGUAAAGAGCGUCGGAGCUGCGACUCGCCUGAAAGGGAGCGAAGCUGGCCGAGCGAACUAGACUUUUUUUCAGGGACGCUUGGCGGCCGAGAGCGAGUGUUGCGAGACAACAAAAAGCUCGACCUCAAAUCAGGUAGGAAUACCCGCUGAACUUAAGCAUAUCAAAA